CCGUGCGGCAUCUAUAAUGCAGUCGAGCGGACAGAUGGGAGCUUGCUCCCUGAUGUUAGCGGCGGACGGGUAAGUAACACGUGGGUAACCUGCCUGUAAGACUGGGAUAACUCCGGGAAACCGGGGCUAAUACCGGAUGCUUGAUUGAACCGCAUGGUUCAAUUAUAAAAGGUGGCUUUUAGCUACCACUUACAGAUGGACCCGCGGCGCAUUAGCUAGUUGGUGAGGUAACGGCUCACCAAGGCAACGAUGCGUAGCCGACCUGAGAGGGUGAUCGGCCACACUGGGACUGAGACACGGCCCAGACUCCUACGGGAGGCAGCAGUAGGGAAUCUUCCGCAAUGGACGAAAGUCUGACGGAGCAACGCCGCGUGAGUGAUGAAGGUUUUCGGAUCGUAAAACUCUGUUGUUAGGGAAGAACAAGUACCGUUCGAAUAGGGCGGUACCUUGACGGUACCUAACCAGAAAGCCACGGCUAACUACGUGCCAGCAGCCGCGGUAAUACGUAGGUGGCAAGCGUUGUCCGGAAUUAUUGGGCGUAAAGCGCGCGCAGGCGGUUUCUUAAGUCUGAUGUGAAAGCCCCCGGCUCAACCGGGGAGGGUCAUUGGAAACUGGGGAACUUGAGUGCAGAAGAGGAGAGUGAAAUUCCACGUGUAGCGGUGAAAUGCGUAGAGAUGUGGAGGAACACCAGUGGCGAAGGCGACUCUCUGGUCUGUAACUGACGCUGAGCGCGAAAGCGUGGGGAGCGAACAGGAUAGAUACCCUGGUAGUCCACGCCGUAACGAUGAGUGCUAAGUGUUAGAGGAUUUCCGCCUUAGUGCUGCAGCAAACGCAUAGGCACUCCGCUUGGAUACGUCCAGGACUGAACUCAAGGAAUUGAACGGUGUCCUGCCUAUCGGUGGAGCCAUGUGUAAUACGAGCCCAGGAGACUACCAGGCUAGACUAUCAUCU
rnacentral:rRNA from 1 species